AAACCCCUAAAUCUUCAGCCUAAAUCAUUUAGCCUCACAAUUUUCCUCAUCUCAUGAUGAUUCUUCAUCUUUCUUACAUCCCUUCAUCGUUGUCUUGUGAUCCUUUAUAUCUUUUAACGCUUCCUUCUUUCUCACAAUUCCAUUUUCUCACAAACCUCAAGUCCAAACCUCUUCAUCUGCUUUUUCCUCUUAAGGCACCAAACGAUCGCUGGUGUUAGGUUCCGAAGGCACCGAUGGUGAUUCAGUUCGUUGAUUGUUGUGUAGGUGGCAGAAUAGGUUGUUUUGGAUGGCUUGUGGAAUUCACAUAAUGGGCUAGGUCAGUAAUCUCAGUGAUGACCAAUUGAAACAGAGACUUGAUCAUAUGUGUAGCACACCUUGCCAGGCACUCUUUCUAUGGCUGAUGAACAUGUACGAUUAUGUAGACAAGAAAGCAUUGGUGCAAAAGCAAGUAAAGAUAUGGGUCAUGGCAGUUUGAGUUUCCAUUUCGGUAAUGAGUCGACGGGUUAGAUUUUCUGAUACUGAUUGGGGUUGUUGGCUGUGAUUUGAGAAAUAUAAACUAAGUCGGCUGAGCUCGAAAGUAUAAACCAAGUUGAAAACUUGAGCUCAACUCGACUUUAGAAAACUUGGCUUAGUUUGCCUCGAAUCUUGCUAUCCCGAUUUUGGCUUGCUUGUAUUGUUAAAACUUAAAGAAAAAAAAAAACUCUUGAUAUGAAGUGGACCGGAUAAUGAUGUAAAAUCGGGCUUAAAAUAUUAAUCAACUUUUAUUACUGCUAUAAAAUGAUAUAAGCUGGGGGUUAAUUUAAGUGAGCGAACCUUACCUCGAGCUAAGCAAUCUUCAAAUUUCGAGUCACUAUCUAUUUGAAUAGCACUACGAAUAUAUCUAAUUUGGUAUAUGCAUAUUUUGUUUAUUGCAUAGAAGACUUUUAUAUUUAAAGUCCUUCCUUUCAUCAUCAUUUUUUUUAAUUACUACGGGAAGUGAAUGGCAAUAUUAAGAUAUUAAGAUCAAUACAUAUCUACUAAGUUAAAGAACACUAUCUGUUGGUACUUGCAUACAUAUUAAUAUGUUUAUCAAAAUUUUAUUACAGUUUAUUAUUCAAUUUAUGUUUGAAUUCAUAAAGUAAUCAGUUUGAACUAACUACAAGUUACACUAUAAAAGUACAUGUGUUAGUAUGGUCACAAUAAUUAUAUUAUUUGUCAAAAUAUUUAUAGUUUUCACUAAAAAUAACGAUUAAAAUAAUCAAAUUAUUUAAAUGAUAUGUUCAUAUUAUAAAAAACAUGGUCAUGGGCAUUGGGUAAAUUCUCUUGCAUUAAGCACAGAGUACGUUCUUCGGACCAGUGAUGCAUUAGGGUUAUAAUUAGCAGAAUAGAUAUGUAUUUGUCUGAGUUUUAUCGCCGAUUUUGUAGUUUGAUGAUGAUAGCUUUUGUUGUAGUUCAGGUUGAUGAUCUAGGAAUUGUUUUCACCGAUCUGUAGUUACACAUUCUUUUACAAGUUAUGUGAUUAUAAUUAUGUUAUGCUGUUCAACUAAAGAUUCAAGUGGGUCCAUGUUUGCUUUCGUCCUCUCAAUAUAGUGUUCUUCUUCGACCACCGAAAUCUCCUCUUAGUCACAUGUUGGUACACCAGGUACAUUUUUUCCCAAUUAUUGUUAGGUGAUGUGGCCGAUUAUUGUUAGGUGAUGUAGGAGCUGCAUAAGAACUUCUGAAUCUCUUUCUAUUAUGUCAUAAUGUAGUCAAGGUACAUUCAUCAAACUCCACUAAAUUUCCCCAUUCAAAGAAGAAUAUAAAAAAUUUGAUUAAACCACCGGCCCUUUGAUUGAAACAACACACACCCAAAAGUUAGUUAUUUUGCUUAACUUGGCCUACAUGAAGUGUGGUUUUACUCAUAUGACACACUUUCUCUUUGUAUCACUUUUUAUUUUCAAACUAAAAUAAAUAUUAACCAACAUUUUAUUUCAUAGAAAACCCCUAAUUCGGGUUCGGGUGGCUUUGAAUUCCAUGGAUGGAGUACAUUAUAUUCGUGAGGUGGACUUGAAAUUAUGUGAGAGCUAUUAACAACUAUCUAAUGCUUUGGCCACGAUGUUUAGUGCAUUCACCAUGGGUACAUCCGUCUUUUGUUUCUUAAUUAUUGAAUUUAUUGUUAAGGUGUUUUCUCAAGCCAAUGUAUUUUUGUGUAUGAUGCUUAUUUUUGUGGGAAGAGUGGGAAGUGGAGCUCUUCGUAACACCACUAUAAUGAUCCAUCAACCCUUCGAUGGGUUGGGGGCAAGGUAAAGAUACGACUGUUCACACUAAGCAAAUUGUUCGUCUUUGGUAUUCGCUAAAUGCAUUAUAUGUAAAAGCUAAAUGCAUUAUAUGUAAAAGCAUAUGGGACAAAACAUCGAUGUAAUUCAAAAUAAUAUGGAUCGAGAUUGUUAUAUAACCCCGGAAGAAGCUAUAAGGAGCUUGGGAUCAUAGAAAAAUUGGGCGGUGAAGGCUGCCAUGGAUGUAUUUCUCAAGGUGCGCAUAAGGAAUUUGGCAUGUGUUAAUAGCAUAAUGGUUUUCAGACGUGAGAAUUCAAGAAAUGACUAUAGGUAUCCUGUCAAAGGAUGGCCAGACUUCAUGUGUUCAAAUGUGGAUGCAGUCACUCCAAGUUCAAGGUUGAAAAACAAUUCAACAGAUAUGAGCUGGAAAUGGGUCUUGUGAUGUUCUCAACAAGAAGGUUUAUGCAUGUAUGGGAAGCAUGUCUACCAAGUUACAAGCGAAUAGGUUUUGGAGUUACUUGAUGAGAGGCGAGGAAUUGUCGAUUGGUUAUCUUUAUGGUUUUAAAUGUUCAAGGAGCCAAGGGAAGCUAUUGGUUGCAAAACCUCCAAAACAUGCAGUAUCAAUUUAAAAUUGUCUUAA